rnacentral:rRNA from 1 species
AUACGUAGGGGGCGAGCGUUGUCCGGAAUGAUUGGGCGUAAAGGGCGCGUAGGCGGCCCGGUAAGUCUGGAGUGAAAGUCCUGUUUUUAAGAUGGGAAUUGCUUUGGAUACUGUCGGGCUUGAGUGCAGGAGAGGUAAGUGGAAUUCCCAGUGUAGCGGUGAAAUGCGUAGAGAUUGGGAGGAACACCAGUGGCGAAGGCGACUUUCUGGACUAUAAGUGACGUUUCGGCGCUAAAUUGUGGAGAGCAAACAGGAUGAGAUACACUAGUAGUCCACACUAUGCACGAUGAUUUCUAGGUUUAGGGGGUAUGGUCCCCUUCUGUGCUGCAGUCCAAACAAUAACCAUUCCUGCUGGGGAGUCCGGCCGCAACGUUCAGGCUCACACAAAGUGACGGGG